UAGGCUUGCGUCUGAUUAGUUAGUUGGUGUGGUAACGGCACACCAAGGCUACGAUCAGUAACUGGUCUGAGAGGAUGAUCAGUCACACUGGAACUGAGACACGGUCCAGACUCCUACGGGAGGCGGCAGUGAGGAAUAUUGGGCAAUGCUCGAAAGAGUGACCCAGCAACGCCGCGUGGAGGAUGAAGGUAUUCUAUAUCGUAACUCCUGUGAGUAGCAGACGAAAGACAGAUUAUUAAUCUGGAUGACUGUAUGCUCAGAAGGAAGCCCCGGCUAACUACGUG
rnacentral:rRNA from 1 species